rfam:Brachypodium distachyon strain Bd21 chromosome 3, whole genome shotgun sequence.
UACAUACUCCCUCCAUCCAACAAAAGAUGUCUUAAGUUUGUUAAAAUUUGGAUGUAUCUAGACAUGACUUAGUGUAUAGAUGCAUUCAAAUUUGGUCAAAGUUGAGACAUUCUUUGUUGGAUAGAGGGAGUACAAU